CACCAGUGAGGGUCCUAACAGUACAAUGGAUGUAUUGAGCCUCCUCCUGUAAAUCAGUGAUCAAAAAUUUUGUAGCAUCCCAUAAAAUCCAAAUUCUACCAUUCAUUGCACCCCUGUAGUUAGUUCGUACAUUCCAGUUAGGCAACAAGAAACUAGAUAUUUUUUGUGCAUUCUUCUGUUUAACCUUUGUCUCUACCAGACCAACAAGGUCAAAUUUAUUGAUUCUAAAUCAAUGUCAUUGAAGCCAUAUACCACUGUGAGGUAGCAGAUAAUUACACCAGUGAGGGUCCUAGCAGUGCAAUGAAUGAAUUGAGCCUCCUCCUGUAAACCAGUGAUCAAACUUUUUGUAGGAUCCCAUAAGAUCCAUAUUCUACCAUUCACUGCUCCCCUGUAGUUAGUUAGUACACUCCAGUUAGGCAACAAGAAACUAGAUAUUCUCUCUGCAUUCUUCUGUUUAACCUUUGUCUCUACUAGACCAACAAGGCCAAAUUUAUUGAUUCUAAAGUAUUCUUUGGCUUCCUUUUGUUUGUACCAUUUAUUUACACCCCUAAUAUUCCAAAAUAAC
rnacentral:lncRNA from 1 species